rnacentral:tRNA from 1 species
UCCGGCAGGUGGCGAAUAUCGGGGGCGCUGGUGACGAAGUGCGUCACAUGGUAGUUGUAAGUUUGACGGGCCAAGAGGAUCGUCUCCCUGUUGCUGGAG